rnacentral:rRNA from 1 species
ACUCCUACGGGAGGCAGCAGUGGGGAAUAUUGCACAAUGGGCGCAAGCCUGAUGCAGCAACGCCGCGUGAGCGAUGAAGGCCUCGGUCGUAAGACUCUGUCCUCAAGAAGAAUAAAUAGACGGUACUUGAGGAGGAAGCCCGGCUAACUACGUGCCAGCAGCCGCGGUAAUACGUAGGGGGCGAAGCGUUAUCCGGAAUCACUGGGCGUAAAGGGUGCGUAGGCGGUUUUCAAGUCAGAAGUGAAAGGCUAUGGCUCAACCAUAGUAAGCUUUUGAAACUGUUAAACUUGAGUGCAGGAGAGGAAAGUGGAAUUCCUAGUGUAGAGGUGAAAUUCGUAGAUAUUAGGAGGAACACCAGUGGCGAAGGCGACUUUCUGGACUGUAACUGACGCUGAGGCACGAAAGCGUGGGGAGCGAACAGGAUUAGAUACCCUGGUAGCACAGAG